AGUGAACGCUGGCGGUAGGCCUAACACAUGCAAGUCGAACGGCAGCACAGUAAGAGCUUGCUCUUACGGGUGGCGAGUGGCGGACGGGUGAGGAAUACAUCGGAAUCUACUUUUUCGUGGGGGAUAACGUAGGGAAACUUACGCUAAUACCGCAUACGACCUACGGGUGAAAGCAGGGGAUCUUCGGACCUUGCGCGAUUGAAUGAGCCGAUGUCGGAUUAGCUAGUUGGCGGGGUAAAGGCCCACCAAGGCGACGAUCCGUAGCUGGUCUGAGAGGAUGAUCAGCCACACUGGAACUGAGACACGGUCCGGACUCCUACGGGAGGCAGCAGUGGGGAAUAUUGGGCAAUGGGCGCAAGCCUGAUCCAGCCAUACCGCGUGGGUGAAGAAGGCCUUCGGGUUGUAAAGCCCUUUUGUUGGGAAAGAAAAGCAGCAGGUUAAUACCCAGCUGUUCUGACGGUACCCAAAGAAUAAGCACCGGCUAACUUCGUG
rnacentral:rRNA from 1 species